AUACGGAGGGUGCAAGCGUUAUCCGGAUUCACUGGGUUUAAAGGGUGCGUAGGCGGGUAUGUAAGUCCGUGGUGAAAUCUCCGAGCUUAACUCGGAAACUGCCAUGGAUACUGCGUAUCUUGAAUGUUGUGGAGGUGAGCGGAAUAUGUCAUGUAGCGGUGAAAUGCUUAGAUAUGACAUAGAACACCAAUUGCGAAGGCAGCUCACUACACAAAUAUUGACGCUGAGGCACGAAAGCGUGGGGAUC
rnacentral:rRNA from 1 species